AAUGAACGCUGGCGGCGUGCCUAACACAUGCAAGUCGUACGAGAAAGGGGCUUCGGCCCUGAGUAGAGUGGCGCACGGGUGAGUAACGCGUGGGUAAUCUGCCCUUGGAUUUGGAAUAACUCCGCGAAAGUGGAGCUAAUACCGGAUAGUCUGGCUUUUUAACGAAGUCGGUAAAGGAUGCCUCUGCAUAUGCAUUCGUCCGAGGAUGAGCCCGCGUCUCAUUAGCUAGUUGGUAGGGUAAUGGCCUACCAAGGCAACGAUGAGUAGCUGGUCUGAGAGGAUGAUCAGCCACACUGGAACUGAAACACGGUCCAGACUCCUACGGGAGGCAGCAGUGGGGAAUAUUGCGCAAUGGGCGAAAGCCUGACGCAGCAACGCCGUGUGAGGGAUGAAGGCUUUCGGGUCGUAAACCUCUGUCGGAAGGGAAGAAAGAAAUGACGGUACCUUCUGAGGAAGCCCCGGCUAACUACGUG
rnacentral:rRNA from 1 species